rnacentral:misc_RNA from 1 species
GCAAACUUGGUCAUUUAGAGGAAGUAAAAGUCGUAACAAGGUUUCCGUAGGUGAACCUGCGGAAGGAUCAUUAAAAAAUUUUGAACCAAUUUUAUGGAUCAAAAAAAUCCAUAAUCCACCUUAUGUGUUUCUAUUGACCUUUGGGAGAUGACCUUCAGAUUUUUGAAGUCAUCUCCCAGGGGGUUAUCUAUAUACAAAUUUUUAGACUUAAAAUUUUUACAUGUUAAAUAUAAUAACAACUUUCAACAACGGAUCUCUUGGCUCUCGCAUCGAUGAAGAACGCAGC